rnacentral:rRNA from 1 species
ACUUUGAUCCUGGCUCAGGAUGAACGCUAGCUACAGGCCCAACACAUGCAAGUCGAGGGGCAGCAUUUUUCCAGCUUGCUGGAAAAGAUGGCGACCGGCGCACGGGUGAGUAACACGUAUCCAACCUUCCGUUUACUCAGGGACAGCCUUUCGAAAGAAAGAUUAAUACCUGAUAGUAUCGAGAGAUUGCAUGAUAGCCCGAUUAAAGAUUAAUCGGUAAACGAUGGGGAUGCGUUCCAUUAGCUUGUUGGCGGGGUAACGGCCCACCAAGGCGACGAUGGAUAGGGGUUCUGAGAGGAAGGUCCCCCACAUUGGAACUGAGACACGGUCCAAACUCCUACGGGAGGCAGCGGUGAGGAAUAUUGGUCAAUGGGCGAGAGCCUGAACCAGCCAAGUAGCGUGAAGGAUGAAGGUUCUAUGGAUUGUAAACUUCUUUUAUACGGGAAUAAAACCUCCCACGUGUGGGAGCUUGUAUGUACCGUAUGAAUAAGCAUCGGCUAACUCUGUGCCAGCGGCCGCGGUAAUACGGAGGAUGCGAGCGUUAUCCGGAUUUAUUGGGUUUAAAGGGAGCGCAGACGGGAGAUUAAGUCAGCUGUGAAAGUUUGCGGCUCAACCGUAAAAUUGCAGUUGAUACUGGAUUCCUUGAGUGCGGUUGAGGUGUGCGGAAUUCGUGGUGUAGCGGUGAAAUGCUUAGAUAUCACGAAGAACCCCGAUUGCGAAGGCAGCACACUAAGCCGUAACUGACGUUCAUGCUCGAAAGUGUGGGUAUCAAACAGGAUUAGAUACCCUGGUAGUCCACACGGUAAACGAUGGAUACUCGCUGUUGGCGAUGUACAGUCAGCGGCCAAGCGAAAGCAUUAAGUAUCCCACCUGGGGAGUACGCCGGCAACGGUGCAACUCAAAUGAAUUGACGGA